GAGUUUGAUCAUGGCUCAGGACGAACGCUGGCGGUGUGCUUAACACAUGCAAGUCGAACGGUAAGGCCCUUUCGGGGGUACACGAGUGGCGAACGGGUGAGUAGCACGUGAGUAACCUGCCCUCAUCUCUGGGAUAACAGUCGGAAACGGUUGCUAAUACUGGAUAUGAGCUUGCAAGGCAUCUUGUGGGUUGGAAAGAUAUUUUUUGGUUGGGGAUGGACUCGCGGCCUAUCAGCUUGUUGGUGAGGUAGUGGCUCACCAAGGCUUCGACGGGUAGCCGGCCUGAGAGGGCGACCGGCCACAUUGGGACUGAGAUACGGCCCAAACUCCUACGGGAGGCAGCAG
rnacentral:rRNA from 1 species